rnacentral:lncRNA from 1 species
CCUAAAUGUCAUUGCUUAGUUAUUCAUGUUCUCACUUGAAACCACAUCGUCAUCAACCUCUAGUUCAUACUAACACAAGAUACUACAAUGUUAACAGAUUAACAGGAGAGGUGUAGAUACUACAAUGUUAACAGAUUAACAGCAGAGGUCUAGAUACUACAAUGUUAACAGAUUAACAGCAGAGAUCUAGAUACUACAAUGUUAACAGAUUAACAGGAGAAGUCUAGAUACUACAAUGUUAACAGAUUAACAGCAGAGGUCUAGAUACUACAAUGUUAACAGAUUAACAGGAGAGGUCUAGUCACAUGUAGUAGAUGGUACUCCUUAUUCAUCUUUCUUGGAAAAGUUUUUUACCUGCUUGAUUUCUA